rnacentral:rRNA from 1 species
GACGAACGCUGGCGGCGUGCCUAAUGCAUGCCAGUAGAACGCUGAAGGAGGAGCUUGCUUCUCUGGAUGAGUUGCGAACGGGUGAGUAACGCGUAGGUAACCUGCCUGGUAGCGGGGGAUAACUAUUGGAAACGAUAGCUAAUACCGCAUAAGAGUAGAUGUCGCAUGACAUUUGCUUAAAAGGUGCAAUUGCAUCACUACCAGAUGGACCUGCGUUGUAUUAGCUAGUUGGUGAGGUAACGGCUCACCAAGGCAACGAUACAUAGCCGACCUGAGAGGGUGAUCGGCCACACUGGGACUGAGACACGGCCCAGACUCCUACGGGAGGCAGCAGUAGGGAAUCUUCGGCAAUGGACGGAAGUCUGACCGAGCAACGCCGCGUGAGUGAAGAAGGUUUUCGGAUCGUAAAGCUCUGUUGUAAGAGAAGAACGAGUGUGAGAGUGGAAAGUUCACACUGUGACGGUAUCUUACCAGAAAGGGACGGCUAACUACGUG